rnacentral:rRNA from 1 species
AGACCCGAAACCCGGUGAUCUAGCCAUGGGCAGGUUGAAGGUUGGGUAACACUAACUGGAGGACCGAACCGACUAAUGUUGAAAAAUUAGCGGAUGACCUGUGGCUGGGGGUGAAAGGCCAAUCAAACCGGGAGAUAGCUGGUUCUCCCCGAAAGCUAUUUAGGUAGCGCCUCGUGAAUUCAUCUCCGGGGGUAGAGCACUGUUUCGGCUAGGGGGCCAUCCCGGCUUACCAACCCGAUGCAAACUGCGAAUACCGGAGAAUGUUAUCACGGGAGACACACGGCGGGUGCUAACGUCCGUCGUGAAGAGGGAAACAACCCAGACCGCCAGCUAAGGUCCCAAAGUCAUGGUUAAGUGGGAAACGAUGUGGGAAGGCCCAGACAGCCAGGAUGUUGGCUUAGAAGCAGCCAUCAUUUAAAGAAAGCGUAAUAGCUCACUGGUCGAGUCGGCCUGCGCGGAAGAUGUAACGGGGCUAAACCAUGCACCGAAGCUGCGGCAGCGACACUCAGGUGUCGUUGGGUAGGGGAGCGUUCUGUAAGCCUGCGAAGGUGGCCUGUGAGGGUUGCUGGAGGUAUCAGAAGUGCGAAUGCUGACAUAAGUAACGAUAAAGCGGGUGAAAAGCCCGCUCGCCGGAAGACCAAGGGUUCCUGUCCAACGUUAAUCGGGGCAGGGUGAGUCGACCCCUAAGGCGAGGCCGAAAGGCGUAGUCGAUGGGAAACGGGUUAAUAUUCCCGUACUUGGUGUUACUGCGAAGGGGGGACGGAGAAGGCUAUGUUGGCCGGGCGACGGUUGUCCCGGUUUAAGCGUGUAGGUGUGUGUUCCAGGUAAAUCCGGUUCACUUUAACACUGAGGCGUGACGACGAGGCACUACGGUGCUGAAGCAACAAAUGCCCUGCUUCCAGGAAAAGCCUCUAAGCAUCAGGUAACAUCAAAUCGUACCCCAAACCGACACAGGUGGUCAGGUAGAGAAUACCAAGGCGCUUGAGAGAACUCGGGUGAAGGAACUAGGCAAAAUGGUGCCGUAACU